AUUGAACGCUGGCGGCAUGCUUUACACAUGCAAGUCGAACGGUAACAGGCCGCACGGUGCUGACGAGUGGCGAACGGGUUAGUAAUGCAUCGGAACGUGCCCAGUCGUGGGGGAUAACUACUCGAAAGCGUAGCUAAUACCUCAUACGUUCUAUGGAUGAAAGCGGGGGACCGUAAGGCCUCGCGCGAUUCGAGCCGCCGCUGUCAGAUUAGGUAGUUGGUGGGGUAAAGGCUCUCCAAGGCAACGCGCUGUAGCUGGUCUGAGAGGAGGACCAGCCACACUAGGAAUGAGACACGGCCCAGACUCCUACGCGAGGCAACAGUGGGGAAUUUUGGACAAUGAGCGAAAGCCUGAUCCAGCAAUGCCGCGUGCAGGAAGAAGGUCUUCGGGUUGUAGACUGCUUUUGUACGGAACGAAACGGCUCUGGUUAAUACCCGGAGCUAAUGACGGUACCGUAAGAAUAAGCACCGGCUAACUACGUG
rnacentral:rRNA from 1 species